rnacentral:rRNA from 1 species
UGGCCGCAGUGAAAAGGCCCAAGCGACUGUUUACCAAAAACACAAGUCUCUGCUAAGUCGAAAGACGAAGUAUAGGGGCUGACACCUGCCCGGUGCUGGAAGGUUAAGGGGAAGAGUAAGGAGAAAGUCCGAAGCUUAGAACUUAAGCCCCAGUAAACGGCGGCCGUAACUAUAACGGUCCUAAGGUAGCGAAAUUCCUUGUCGGGUAAGUUCCGACCCGCACGAAAGGUGUAACGAUUUGGGCACUGUCUCAACAAAGGAUCCGGUGAAAUUGUAGUACUCGUGAAGAUGCGAGUUACCCGCGACAGGACGGAAAGACCCCGUGGAGCUUUACUGCAGGCUGACAUUGGAUUUUGGCAUUGCAUGUACAGGAUAGGUGGGAGACAAAGAAACCAGGGCGCCAGUCUUGGAGGAGUCAAACUUGGGAUACCACUCUUGAAAUGCUGAAAUUCUAACCUGAUACCAUGAAACUGGUAUAGGGACACUGUCAGUUGGGCAGUUUGACUGGGGCGGUCGCCUCCUAAAAAGUAACGGAGGCGCUCAAAGGUUCCCUCAGCACGGACGGAAAUCGUGCGAAGAGUGCAAAGGCAAAAGGGAGCUUAACUGUGACACCAACAAGUGGAGCAGGAACGAAAGUUGGACUUAGUGAUCCGGUGGUACCGAGUGGAAGGGCCAUCGCUCAACGGAUAAAAGCUACCCCGGGGAUAACAGGCUUAUCUCCCCCAAGAGUCCACAUCGACGGGGAGGUUUGGCACCUCGAUGUCGGCUCGUCUCAUCCUGGGGCUGAAGCAGGUCCCAAGGGUUGGGCUGUUCGCCCAUUAAAGAGGCACGCGAGCUGGGUUCAGAACGUCGUGAGACAGUUCGGUCCCUAUCCGUCGUGGGCGUAGGAAAUUUGAGAGGAGCUGUCCUUAGUACGAGAGGACCGGGAUGGACAAACCGCUGGUGAAUCAGUUGUCUCGCCAGAGGCAUAGCUGAGUAUCUAAGUUUGGAAGGGAUAAGAGCUGAAGGCAUCUAAGCACGAAGCCCCCCUCAAGAUAAGAUUUCCCAUCAUGAAAAUGAGUAAGACUCCAAGAAGACGACUUGGUAGAUAGGUCUAAGGUGAAAGAGUAGUAAUACUUUAAGCUAAUAGAUACUAAUAAGUCGAGGACUUGACCUA